CAGCAGCCACGGUAACACGUAGGGUGCAAGCGUUAAUCGGAAUUACUGGGCGUAAAGCGUGCGCAGGCGGUUAUAUAAGACAGAUGUAAAAUCCCCGGGCUCAACCUGGGAACUGCAUUUGUGACUGUAUAGCUAGAGUACGGCAGAGGGGGAUGGAAUUCCGCGUGUAGCAGUGAAAUGCGUAGAUAUGCGGAGGAACACCGAUGGCGAAGGCAAUCCCCUGGGCCUGUACUGACGCUCAUGCACGAAAGCGUGGGGAGCAAACAGGAUUAGAUACCCCCGUAGUCCCUGUCUCUUAUAC
rnacentral:rRNA from 1 species